rnacentral:rRNA from 1 species
UACGUAGGUGGCAAGCGUUGUCCGGAAUUAUUGGGCGUAAAGCGCGCGCAGGCGGUCCUUUAAGUCUGAUGUGAAAGCCCACGGCUCAACCGUGGAGGGUCAUUGGAAACUGGGGGGACUUGAGUGCAGGAGAGAAGAGUGGAAUUCCACGUGUAGCGGUGAAAUGCGUAGAGAUGUGGAGGAACACCAGUGGCGAAGGCGGUCUCUUGGGCCUGUAACUGACGCUGAGGCGCGAAAGCGUGGGGGAGCGAAACAGGAUUAGAACCGUACCGUCGUAG